UACGUAGGGUGCAAGCGUUGUCCGGAAUUAUUGGGCGUAAAGAGCUCGUAGGCGGUCUGUCGCGUCUGCUGUGAAAACUCAGGGCUUAACCCUGAGCUUGCAGUGGGUACGGGCAGACUAGAGUGCGGUAGGGGAGACUGGAAUUCCUGGUGUAGCGGUGAAAUGCGCAGAUAUCAGGAGGAACACCGGUGGCGAAGGCGGAUCUCUGGGCCGUAACUGACGCUGAGGAGCGAAAGCAUGGGGGAGCAAACAGG
rnacentral:rRNA from 1 species